rnacentral:rRNA from 1 species
GACGAACGCUGGCGGCGUGCUUAACACAUGCAAGUCGAACGGAAAGGCCCUGCUUUUGUGGGGUGCUCGAGUGGCGAACGGGUGAGUAACACGUGAGUAACCUGCCCUUGACUUUGGGAUAACUUCAGGAAACUGGGGCUAAUACCGGAUAGGAGCUCCUGCUGCAUGGUGGGGGUUGGAAAGUUUCGGCGGUUGGGGAUGGACUCGCGGCUUAUCAGCUUGUUGGUGGGGUAGUGGCUUACCAAGGCUUUGACGGGUAGCCGGCCUGAGAGGGUGACCGGCCACAUUGGGACUGAGAUACGGCCCAGACUGCUACGGGAGGCAGCAGUGGGGAAUAGUGCAAAAUGGGCGGAAGCCUGAUGCAGCAACGCCGCGUGCGGGAUGACGGCCUUCGGGUUGUAAACCGCUUUCGCCUGUGACGAAGCGUGAGUGACGGUAAUGGGUAAAGAAGCACCGGCUAACUACGUG